UAUCUUGAGCUUAUGGAUGAUUUAUUGCAACUGGCUGUUACUUCUCUCCCUUGAGCUCAUGGAGGGUGUCUUGGUCCUGAUUAUAUUUCAAGCGAACCUUCCCACUGUGAACUACUGGCAUCUUACUUUUUGACCCCUUGACAAGAAGAACUGGAGUUACCAAAAUGCUGUCAUUUAAGGUGUUGGAGUGGAAACCAGAACAUUACCUAUUAUCAAGAAGGGGUUUCUUCUA
rnacentral:lncRNA from 1 species